rnacentral:rRNA from 1 species
AGCAGCCGCCGCGGGAAUACGGAGGGAGCUAGCGUUGUUCGGAAUUACUGGGCGUAAAGCGCGCGUAGGCGGUUACUCAAGUCAGAGGUGAAAGCCCGGGGCUCAACCCCGGAACUGCCUUUGAAACUAGGUGACUAGAAUCUUGGAGAGGUCAGUGGAAUUCCGAGUGUAGAGGUGAAAUUCGUAGAUAUUCGGAAGAACACCAGUGGCGAAGGCGACUGACUGGACAAGUAUUGACGCUGAGGUGCGAAAGCGUGGGGAGCAAACAGGAUUAGAUACCCCUGUAGUCCCUGUCUCUUAUAC